rnacentral:sRNA from 1 species
AGUGUUUGGGGAACAGGCGAGAUAGAGGAGCUGAGCCCCUUCUCCAACAGCCGUCCUGUCUUUCUGUUGACCAACCAGAGAGGCUUUUUGCCUGAGGUCAGCAAGCUGGCCUCCCUGGUUGGCAGGGGGAGUGCUUGGCUUCCAUCUGGCAUGGUUUCCGGAUGGGAGAAAGCCCCUGAGGGUCUGUUGGAGCUGUUGGCUAAAGGAAGUGGAGGGGCCGUGGGAUGCGGAGAGCCGAGGGCUAACUCCCGGACAGCGGAACAGAGAGAGCUGCCGACAAACAGACGCAGGCGGAGGAGCCGUCACCUCCCAGAAUGACCAGUGCCGCCCCUGCUAAGAAACCCUACCGUAAGGCACCACCAGAGCAUCGGGAGCUGCGUUUGGAAAUUCCUGGAUCCCGGCUUGAGCAGGAGGAACCCCUGACUGACGCAGAAAGGAUGAAGCUCUUGCAGCAGGAGAAUGAAGAGCUUCGCCGGCGCCUGGCCUCCGCCACCAGACGCACUGAGGCCCUGGAACGUGAGCUGGAAAUCGGGCAGGACUGCCUGGAGCUGGAGCUGGGCCAGAGCCGCGAGGAGCUGGACAAAUUUAAGGAUAAGUUUCGCAGGCUGCAGAACAGCUACACAGCUUCCCAGCGGACCAACCAGGAGUUGGAGGACAAGCUGCACACACUGGCCUCUCUUAGCCACAGCUGGAUUUUUGCAGUUGCGUCUGAGUUUGUGUGUCUUCUCCCUUGCCCUGGCCUUCUCCUCAGCUGAGAUCUGGGAUUGUGGGCCCUGGCUAUUACCCUGUGCCCCUUGAGUACACCCGCUCCUUUCUCUUCCCUGUAUGAGGCCCGUUUAACUGUCAAUUCCUCCCUCCCAGGAGAGAGCUGGGGAGCCUAGCCUGCUCUGCCCUUGGCUCUGGUAGAGGUACUGAUUGAUGUCUCCACUGAACACCCAAAGCUUCUUGGCUGCAGUGGCAGCAAGCCCAGGCUGUGGGCGGGGAGGGGAGGCUGCAGAUCCAGUCCCUGAACUGGAGAUCAGGCUACUUUUGAGCCUGCAGCUUGCUCCCUGCUCAACAAGGCGCCCUGGCUGCCACUGAGCCCUGCUUCCUCUUCCCUCUCCUAGCCUGAUGUUGGAAACAGCUGCACACAUAAGAGGCUUCAGCCCCCUGGUUUGCAGUUACUGCCUUUGAGGUACCAGCUGCCUUGCCUGGUGCUCAGAGCCCCUGGAACCUCAGGGGAUGGACAGCUCUUAUACUGCCUGUGUCCUGGGCCCAGGUGGCAGGAGGUCAUGCUAAGAAAGCCCUCACCCCACAGCCAGUCCAGAGAGCGGGAGAGAUGCCCAGUCUCCUUCUGUCUGUCCGUCAUUUGUCUCUGCUCUGUCCGCCUUGGCUGCCCUAGCACCUGUGGCCUCUUGUGUCUCCAGGAUGGGAGGAGGUGGAGGGAGAGGAAGGGCUGGCUAGGGUGUGGGCUGGGUUAACCUCAAGUCUAUGCCUCAGAUCAAGAAGGCUGAGAUGGAUAGGAAGACGCUGGACUGGGAGAUUGUGGAGCUGACCAACAAGCUGCUGGAUGCCAAGAACACCAUCAACAAGCUGGAAGAGCUCAAUGAGCGGUAUCGGCUGGACUGCAACCUGGCUGUACAGCUCCUCAAGUGCAACAAGUCCCACUUCCGAAACCACAAGUUUGCCGAUCUGCCCUGUGAGCUACAGGACAUGGUUCAGAAACAUCUGCACAGUGGUCAAGAGGCCGCCAGCCCAGGUCCUGCUCCCAGCCUAGCCCCAGGGGCUGUGGUACCUACCUCAGUCAUUGCCCGAGUGUUAGAGAAGCCGGAGUCUCUACUGCUUAAUUCAGCCCAGUCAGGCAGUGCCGGGCGCCCCUUGGCUGAGGAUGUCUUUGUGCAUGUGGACAUGAGUGAGGGUGUCCCAGGUGAUCCAGCCAGUCCCCCGGUGCCUGGCAGCCCCACCCCGCAACCCAAUGGGGAGUGCCACUCUCUGAGUACUGCCAGGGGCUCCCCGGAGGAAGAGCUGCCCCUGCCAGCCUUUGAGAAGCUGAGCCCCUACCCAACCCCGUCUCCACCACACCCACUGUAUCCUGGCCGCAGGGUAAUAGAGUUCUCUGAGGAUAAGGUUCGGAUCCCCCACAACAGCCCCCUGCCCAACUGCACUUAUGCUACCCGCCAGGCCAUUUCCCUGAGCUUGGUAGAGGAGGGGAGUGAGCGGGCCCGCCCCAGCCCAGUGCCCAGCACCCCUGCCUCAGCCCAGGCCUCACCCCACCACCAGCCCAGCCCAGCGCCCCUAACACUCAGUGCCCCAGCUAGCUCUGCCAGCUCGGAAGAGGACCUGCUGGUCAGCUGGCAGCGGGCAUUUGUGGACCGUACUCCGCCACCUGCCGCUGUGGCCCAGCGCACAGCCUUUGGACGUGACGCCCUCCCUGAGCUGCAGCGCCAUUUUGCCCAUAGCCCCGCUGACAGAGAUGAGGUGGUCCAGGCACCUUCUCCCCGACCCGAAGAGAGUGAGCUUUUGCUACCCACAGAACCUGACUCUGGCUUUCCCAGGGAGGAAGAAGAAGAGCUGAACCUGCCCAUCGGUCCUGAGGAAGAGCGCCAGAGCCUGCUGCCCAUUAACAGUGGCACACAGGAGGGGCCAGGCACUUCCCACACUGAGGGCAGGGCCUGGCCACUCCCCAGCUCCAGUCGCCCCCAGCGCAGCCCCAAGAGGAUGGGGGUUCACCACCUGCACCGCAAGGACAGCCUGACCCAGGCCCAGGAGCAGGGCAACCUGCUCAACUAGGGCCCCUGAUGGCCUUCCUGCCAUUGCUGCACCGGGACUGCAAGGAGGCCCCACACCUUGGCAGCUCAGGGUCCCCAGUCCAAGCCCUUGACCUCUCCUCUAUCCAGACCUGCACAGCUGUUCCCUGUGUGGGUGGGGUCAGGUGGUGGGCCAUGCCAGGCCUGUCAGCUGCGUUGACUGACUGUGGCAGCUUGCCUCAUGGUUUUCCCCUUUUCUUAGAAUAUUUAUUCUUCAGAGGUAACAUGCAGUUGGGUCUCAAGACCUUUCCUCCAAUCAGCCCAACCCAGCCCAGACUGGGUUGUUCUGGGGAGCUGAGGAGUUUAUCAGUAUUCAUCUUCCAUUCUCCUUUCAUAGUCACAAGUUUUGUUAUUUUGUUUUUUUGGGGGGGUGAUGGUGUAAUUGUUAACCUCAUUUCUGUUUCCUACCUGUUUGCUUCCCCCCCGAGUCCUCCGCAUGAGCUGUUGCCCUCCAGGGGCCCAGCACAGCUGGCCUUGGGGACGAGGGAGAGGACUGACUCAGGGCCCCCUCAGCUGUCUCCUCCCUCCCUCUGGAAAGGAGGGUGGGGCUCAGGGGCCUCAAGCUGGGCUCUGGGUGAGGCCUGGUCCCCACUCCCAACCUUGGCUCUAGACUGUUACUCUAAGCUUUGGGAAAUUUUCACAUUGAUGACUAUUUUAAAAUCAAAUAAAACUAUUUUACUGGU